rnacentral:lncRNA from 1 species
UCUGCUCUGGCUGGGGGUCCUCUGCAGAUGGGUUCUGGCCCAGGCUCAGCCUGCUGACCUUCUUCACAAAGUGCCCUCUGCAGGCUUUGGGGUGGAGAGUGCGCUGCUCAAAGGCGGCAGCUUCAGCCUUGCAGGGGGUGGGAGAACACAGCUGGUCCCCUGGGCCAGGCUGAGAACACCUGAAGCUGUUUACUCAGCCACUUAGGAAGGCCCUGCCUUCAGGCACAGCUCCUGCCCAACACACUCCUCCCCUGUGGCUGCCAGGGCCCCAGCUCGGCUGCCCUCCUGGGGAACAAAGGCCAGGGUGGUUGGGCAGGACAAGCAGGAACAUGCCUGUGGACGAAAGUUGCUCAGAUGCCACCUCCCCCAGGAAGCACAGCCUUGGAUGUGCCCUGACAUGCCCCUGGAAGGCCUCACAGGCCUCUCCAUGGUGCCCACCCUCGGGCAGCCCCCUCACCCUCACUCCUCUCCGUGCUGGCUAAGCCCACUCAGGGGUGGGUGCCGGCCCCCCCUCCCGAUUCCAGGCUGGGGAGGAGAGCAGGGCGAGGUUCUGGCCUUCCUUUCUGUAAAUGCUGGACAGGACAAAAGAUUCACCAAGGACUCCAGGCAGGUGGCCUGGAGAAGAGGGUGGCACUGGCGUGGUAGGGAUGAAAACCCUCUGGGGACUGGCUGGGGUCUGAAAGAAGUAGGCAAGAUGGAGAGGCCUGGAACGUAUUGAAAGGGAUGGAGCCCACUAGAAGACCUCACCGGGCGUGGCUCAGCUCACAGACACCUACUCCUGUCAAUUAAUUAUGAAAAUGGAGUUGGAGGCUGAGUGCAGUGGCUCAUGCCUGUAAUCCUAGCACUUUGGGAGACGGAGGUGGGCGGAUCACCUGAGGUCAGGAGUUUGAGACCAUUCUGGCUAACAUGGUGAAACCCCACCUCUACUAAAAAUACAAAAAUUAGCUGGGCGUGGUGGGCGCCUGUAAUCCCAGCUACUCGGGAGGCUGACGCAGAAGAAUUGCCUGAACCUGGGAGGUGGAGGUUGCAGUGAGCUGAGAUCGUGCCAUUGCACUCCAGCCUGGGCAACAAAAGCAAAAAAUUCCACCUCGAAAAGAAAAAAAAAAAGAAAGAAAGAAAGAAAAGAAAAUGGAGCUGGAACUACUGAUGUGCAAUAAAGCCCUGGGAGACGGACAGACAUCAGGGACUGUGCCGGGCGCGGGGACUGAUGCUUGUCAUCCCAGCACUGUGGGAGGCCCAGGCAGGCGGAUCACUUGAGGCCGGGAGUUCCAGACCAGCCUGGGCAACAUGACAAGAUCCCAUCUCUACAAAAAUACCAAAAUUAGCCAGGCGUGGUGGCAGGUGCCUGUAGUCCCAACUAUUUAGGAGGCUGAGGUGGGAGGACUGAUUGAGCCCAGGAGGUCAAGGCUGCAGUAAGCUGUGAUUGAACCACUGUACUGCAGCCUGGGUGACAGAAUGAGACCCUGUCUCAAAAAAAAAGUCAGAGGCUGGGUGCGGUGGCUCAAGCCUGUAAUCCCAGCACUUUGGGAGGCCGAGACGUGCGGAUCACGAGGUCAGGAGAUCGAGACCAUCCUGGCGAACACGGUGAAACCCCAUCUCUACUAAAAAAUACAAAAAAAAACUAGCCGGGCGAGGUGGCGGGCGCCUGUAGUCCCAGCUACUCGGGAGGCUGAGGCAGGAGAAUGGCGUGAACCCGGGAGGCGGAGCUUGCCGUGAGCCGAGAUCGCGCCACUGCACUCCAGCCUGGGUGACAGAGCGAGACUCCGUCUCAAAAAAAAAAAAAAAAAAAAAAAAGUCAGACUUGGGAGUAACGUUCGGAGAAACUGGUUGGGGUUUUGGAUGGGAAGUUUUGCCCCUGACUAGAAAUGAUGGGCCGGGCACAGCGGCUCAUGCCUGUAAUCCCAGCACUUUGGGAGGCCGAGGCGGGCAUCAAAGUCAAGAGAUUAAGACCAUCCUGGCCACCAGGGUGAAACCCCGUCUCUACUAAAAAAAAAAAUACAGGCCGGGCGCGGUGGCUCAAGCCUGUAAUCCCAGCACUUUGGGAGGCCGAGACGUGCGGAUCGCGAGAUCAGGAGAUCGAGACCAUCCUGGCUAACACGGUGAAACCCCGUCUCUACUAAAAAUACAAAAAAAUUAGCCGGGCGAGGUGGCGGCGCC